rfam:Triticum aestivum genome assembly, contig: Triticum_aestivum_CS42_TGACv1_scaffold_093012_2AL
CAUGUACUCCCUCCGUCCGGAAAUACUUGUCGGAGAAAUGGAUAUAUCUAGAUGUAUUUUAGUUCUAGAUACAUCCAUUUUUAUCCAUUUCUGUGACAAGUAAUUCUAGACGGAGGGAGUACUAG